GUCUAUGGUCGUACCACCUGCACAUGCCAGAUCUCCGAAGCCAAGCAUGGUUAGACCUGGUUAGAAUUUGGAUGGGAGAUGGCUUGGGAAUCACAGGUGCUAUAAUCU
ensembl:rRNA Gm22135 predicted gene, 22135